UACGUAGGGUGCGAGCGUUGCCCGGAUUUACUGGGCGUAAAGGGCUCGUAGGCGGCCAACUAAGUCGGAUGUGAAAUCCCCAGGCUUAACCUGGGAACUGCAUCCGAUACUGGAUGGCUUGAAUCCGGGAGAGGGAUGCAGAAUUCCAGGUGUAGCGGUGAAAUGCGUAGAUAUCUGGAGGAAUACCGGUGGCGAAGGCGGCAUCCUGGACCGGCAUUGACGCUGAGUGAGCGAAAGCCAGGGGAGCAAACGGG
rnacentral:rRNA from 1 species